rnacentral:rRNA from 1 species
UCGCUUUGGGAGGAGCUCGCUUACUAUCAGCUUGUUGGUAGGGUAAUGGCCUACCAAGGCUAUGACGGUUAGGGGGUGUGAGAGCAUGACCCCCAGCAUUGGCACUGAAACACUGGCCAAACACCUACGGGUGGCUGCAGUCGAGAAUCUUCCACAAUGGGGGAAACCCUGAUGGAGCGAUGCUGCGUGCGGGAUGAAGGCCUUCGGGUUGUAAACCGCUUUUGUAGGGGACGAAAUUUUUGACGGUACCCUUUCGAAUAAGAGGUUGCUAACUCUGUGCCAGCAGCAGCGGUAAUACAGAGACCUCAAGCGUUAUCCGGAUUUACUGGGCGUAAAGCGUCUGUAGGGGGUUUAUUAAGUUCCAAGUAAAAUUUCAAGGCUCAACUUUGAAUUCGCUUGGAAAACUAAUAAACUGGAGUCUAGCAGAGGUGCAUGGAACUUGUGGUGUAGGAGUGAAAUCCGUUGAUAUCACAAGGAACACCAAAGGCGAAGGCAUUGCACUGGGCUAGCACUGACCCUGAGAGACGAAAGCGUGGGGAGCAAAACGGAUUAGAUACCCGUGUAGUCCACGCCCUAAACGAUGAAUGCUAAAUGUUCGGGGAUUCGACCCCCUGGGUGUUACAGCUAACGCGUUAAGCAUUCCGCCUGGGAAGUACGGCCGCAAGGCUAAAACUCAAAGGAAUAGACGGGGAUCCGCACAAGCGGUGGAGCGUCUGGUUUAAUUCGACAGUAAGCGUGGUACCUCACCAGGGUUUGACAUCCCUUGACAGCCUUGGAAACAAGGUUUCCUUCGGGCAAGGUGACAGGUGCUGCAUGGUCGUCGUCAGUUCGUGCCGUGAGGUGUUCCGUUAAGUCGGGAAACGAACGAAACCCCUAUUGCAUGUUACAAUUUCUCAUGCAAGACUGCCGGGAUAUACUGGGAGGAAGGUGGGGAUGACGUCAGAUCUGCAUGGUCCUUAUACCCUGGGCGACACAGGCGCUACAAUGGCAGAGACAAAGGGUUGCAAAACCGCAAGGUGAAGCUAAUCCCAAAAACUUUGUCUAAGUUCGGAUUGAAGGCUGCAAUUCGCCUUCAUGAAGCUGGAAUCGCUAGUAAUCGUGAAUCAGCCACGUCACGGUGAAUAUGUUCCCGGAUCUUGUACUCACCGCCCGUCACACCAAGAGAGUUGGUAGCUCCCGAAGCGUCCCGUUUUAGCGGGGC